rnacentral:rRNA from 1 species
UACGUAGGGGGCAAGCGUUGUCCGGAAUCAUUGGGCGUAAAGAGCGUGUAGGCGGUCCGGUAAGUCCGCUGUGAAAGUCGGGGGCUCAACCCUCGAAUGCCGGUGGAUACUGUCGGGCUAGAGUGCGGAAGAGGCGAGUGGAAUUCCUGGUGUAGCGGUGAAAUGCGCAGAUAUCAGGAGGAACACCAAUUGCGAAGGCAGCUCGCUGGGACGUUACUGACGCUGAGGAGCGAAAGCAUGGGGAGCGAACAGG